UUUGUACUUCCUUCGUCCGAAAAUACUUGUCAUCAAAAUGAAUAAAAGGAGAUGUAUCUAGAUGUAUUUUAGUUUUAGAUACAUCUUUUUUGUCCAUUUUGAUGACAAGUAUUUUCGGACGAAGGGAGUAUGUA
rnacentral:pre_miRNA from 1 species